UGGGGAAUAUUGGACAAUGGGCGAAAGCCUGAUCCAGCCAUGCCGCGUGUGUGAAGAAGGUCUUCGGAUUGUAAAGCACUUUAAGUUGGGAGGAAGGGCAGUAAGCGAAUACCUUGCUGUUUUGACGUUACCGACAGAAUAAGCACCGGCUAACUCUGUGCCAGCAGCCGCGGUAAUACAGAGGGUGCGAGCGUUAAUCGGAUUUACUGGGCGUAAAGCGUGCGUAGGCGGCUAAUUGAGUCGGAUGUGAAAUCCCCGAGCUUAACUUGGGAAUUGCAUUCGAUACUGGUUAGCUAGAGUGUAGGUGAGGAUGGUAGAAUUCCAGGUGUAGCGGUGAAAUGCGUAGAGAACUGGAGGAAUACCGAUCGCGAAGGCAGCCAUCUGGCCUAACACUGACGCUGAGGUACGAAAGCAUGGGGAGCAAACAGG
rnacentral:rRNA from 1 species